UGGCGGACGGGUGAGUAACGCGUGGGGGAACCUGCCCUGUACAGGGGGAUAACACUUAGAAAUAGGUGCUAAUACCGCAUAAGCGCACAGUAUCGCAUGAUACAGUGUGAAAAACUCCGGUGGUACAGGAUGGACCCGCGUCUGAUUAGCUGGUUGGCGGGGUAACGGCCCACCAAGGCGACGAUCAGUAGCCGGCCUGAGAGGGUGAACGGCCACAUUGGGACUGAGACACGGCCCAAACUCCUACGGAAGGCAGCAG
rnacentral:rRNA from 1 species